rnacentral:rRNA from 1 species
GAUCCAAAUUCAAUUGUUUGUGUGUCUUAAUACACACAUCGCGCAAGAUUAGCCAUGUCAUUGUCUAGGUAUAAGCAUUAUACCGUGAAACUGCGAAUGGCUCAUUAAAUCAGUUAUCGUUUAUUUGAUAGUACCUUUACUACUUGGAUAACCGUGGUAAUUCUAGAGCUAAUACAUGCUGAAAACCCCGACUUCGGGAGGGGUGUAUUUAUUAGAUAAAAAACCAACGCCCUUUCGGGGCUUCUUGGUGAUUCAUGAUAACUUCACGGAUCGCAUGGCCUUGCGCCGGCGACGGUUCAUUCAAAUUUCUGCCCUAUCAACUUUCGAUGGUAAGGUAUUGGCUUACCAUGGUUUCAACGGGUAACGGGGAAUUAGGGUUCGAUUCCGGAGAGGGAGCCUGAGAAACGGCUACCACAUCCAAGGAAGGCAGCAGGCGCGCAAAUUACCCAAUCCCGACACGGGGAGGUAGUGACAAUAAAUACUGAUACAGGGCUCUUUUGGGUCUUGUAAUUGGAAUGAGUACAAUUUAAACCUCUUAACGAGGAACAAUUGGAGGGCAAGUCUGGUGCCAGCAGCCGCGGUAAUUCCAGCUCCAAUAGCGUAUAUUAAAGUUGUUGCAGUUAAAAAGCUCGUAGUUGAAACUUGGGCCUGGCUGGCAGGUCCGCCUCACCGCGUGUACUUGUCCGGCCGGGCCUUUCCUUCUGGAGAACCUCAUGCCCUUCACUGGGUGUGUUGGGGAACCAGGACUUUUACUUUGAAAAAAUUAGAGUGUUCAAAGCAGGCCUUUGCUCGAAUACGUUAGCAUGGAAUAAUAGAAUAGGACGUGCGGUCCUAUUUUGUUGGUUUCUAGGACCGCCGUAAUGAUUAAUAGGGACAGUCGGGGGCAUCAGUAUUCAAUUGUCAGAGGUGAAAUUCUUGGAUUUAUUGAAGACUAACUACUGCGAAAGCAUUUGCCAAGGAUGUUUUCAUUAAUCAGUGAACGAAAGUUAGGGGAUCGAAGACGAUCAGAUACCGUCGUAGUCUUAACCGUAAACUAUGCCGACUAGGGAUCGGGCGAUGUUCUUUUUCUGACUCGCUCGGCACCUUACGAGAAAUCAAAGUUUUUGGGUUCUGGGGGGGAGUAUGGYCCGCAASSCUGAACUAGAAUUUUUCGAAUGGGAAGA